rnacentral:lncRNA from 1 species
CCCACUUAUACCCUACAGGUUUAACCCCUUCAGGUUGGUCAAUUAAUAUCCACACAUCAUUGAUCUUCAUGGACUCUAUUUUAGAUUUUAUGGUUUCAAGUUUUUUAUCAGAGUUGGACCUCUGCAUUACAUCCAUAUAGAUGAUCGGAUCCUCAUUAUUCUCAUCGAGUUCAACUGGAUCACCGUCCUGAACCAAAAAAUCAUAGU